UAAAAACAGAUCACUUUUGGAGUGUCUGGUCUACUAUCCUCUCCAGGCAUUUGAUACAUUUCCUCUUCUAGUGACACUUCUUGUUCUCUUAAUACACUGCUUCAAGGAGUUAAAUUCAUUUAUACUGCAGGUUAUACACGCUGCCCGGGCAAAUGCUACUCAUAACCAUGGACUAGAUCCUGCUCGUCUCCUUGUUGCGGAAGCGUUUGUUGGGAAGGGACUAUUUGGGAAGAAGGUAGCUUACCAUGCAAAAGGAAGAAGCGGGAUUAUAUCAGUACCCCGGUGUCGCCUAACAGUCAUAGUUAGAGAGACGACUGCAGAGGAAGAAGCUGAGAUUGCAAGGCUCAAAGUUCACAAUUUUAAGAAGAAAACCAAACGGCAGAGACAGCUUGUACCUUUCGAGCUCAUCGAGACAACUCCAAUCUGGAACCGCAGAGGUACAAAAGCCAAUUAUCGGUCCUCAGAGUUGGUACCGUCUCAGUAGUAUCGUUGUUCCGGCAACUAUAACCAGAGCUUCUCUUUUAUGAUACUUUCUGUUUGUUUUGGUUUUAAUAUUGCUUGCAUUCACUAAACAUGUUGCUAGAGAGGAACCAAAGCUCACUUAAACAGAGCUGUCCCCGCUUUGUUUUUUUUCUUGGGAGUCUCUUAAUUGUUGUUUUUGUGGAAACAAAGUUAAAUUCUCUUUUCCCAGUCUUUGCAAGUA